rnacentral:lncRNA from 1 species
GUGAACUGGUGAACGAUGAGAAUGUGCAGCAGGUGCUAGAGGAGCUUCGAGGGUACUGCACGGAUGUGUCUGCGGACUUUGCACAGGCUGCCAUCUUUGCCAUAGACUUUUUCAUAGUACCCUGUCUGGAAUUUGAAAGGCUGGAGUGACUCAAAAACUGAAAACAGCUGUUGAGCCAAGUUUUGAAGGAUUUCAAGUACAGGAGGAGGAGCAACCCUCAUAUUUGGAAUAAAGCAUGGUUAUUUUAGGGGCAGAGAAGAGGGAGCAAAGAGGAGACAAGAAAUCCUUAGGAGACUGCUGUCAAGUGUCCCCCACAAAAAUACUCCAUUG